UCCAGACUCCUACGGGAGGCAGCAGUGGGGAAUAUUGGACAAUGGGCGAAAGCCUGAUCCAGCCAUGCCGCGUGUGUGAAGAAGGUCUUCGGAUUGUAAAGCACUUUAAGUUGGGAGGAAGGGCAGUAAAUUAAUACUUUGCUGUUUUGACGUUACCGACAGAAUAAGCACCGGCUAACUCUGUGCCAGCAGCCGCGGUAAUACAGAGGGUGCAAGCGUUAAUCGGAAUUACUGGGCGUAAAGCGCGCGUAGGUGGUUCGUUAAGUUGGAUGUGAAAUCCCCGGGCUCAACCUGGGAACUGCAUUCAAAACUGACGGGCUAGAGUAUGGUAGAGGGUGGUGGAAUUUCCUGUGUAGCGGUGAAAUGCGUAGAUAUAGGAAGGAACACCAGUGGCGAAGGCGGCUUACUGGACUGUAACUGACGUUGAGGCUCGAAAGCGUGGGGAGCAAACAGGAUUAGAUACCCGAGUA
rnacentral:rRNA from 1 species